CGAAUGCUUGCAUUCACCGUAAGAAGUUGAGUGGCGGACGGGUGAGUAACACGUGGGUAACCUGCCUAAAAGAAGGGGAUAACACUUGGAAACAGGUGCUAAUACCGUAUAUCUCUAAGGAUCGCAUGAUCCUUAGAUGAAAGAUGGUUCUGCUAUCGCUUUUAGAUGGACCCGCGGCGUAUUAACUAGUUGGUGGGGUAACGGCCUACCAAGGUGAUGAUACGUAGCCGAACUGAGAGGUUGAUCGGCCACAUUGGGACUGAGACACGGCCCAAACUCCUACGGGAGGCAGCAGUAGGGAAUCUUCCACAAUGGACGCAAGUCUGAUGGAGCAACGCCGCGUGAGUGAAGAAGGUCUUCGGAUCGUAAAACUCUGUUGUUAGAGAAGAACACGAGUGAGAGUAACUGUUCAUUCGAUGACGGUAUCUAACCAGCAAGUCACGGCUAACUACGUGCCAGCAGCCGCGGUAAUACGUAGGUGGCAAGCGUUGUCCGGAUUUAUUGGGCGUAAAGGGAACGCAGGCGGUCUUUUAAGUCUGAUGUGAAAGCCUUCGGCUUAACCGGAGUAGUGCAUUGGAAACUGGAAGACUUGAGUGCAGAAGAGGAGAGUGGAACUCCAUGUGUAGCGGUGAAAUGCGUAGAUAUAUGGAAGAACACCAGUGGCGAAAGCGGCUCUCUGGUCUGUAACUGACGCUGAGGUUCGAAAGCGUGGGUAGCAAACAGGAUUAGAUACCCUGGUAGUCCACGCCGUAAAACGAUGAAUGCUAGGUGUUGGAGGGUUUCCGCCCUUCAGUGCCGCAGCUAACGCAAUAAGCAUUCCGCCUGGGGAGUACGACCGCAAGGUUGAAACUCAAAGGAAUUGACGGGGGCCCGCACAAGCGGUGGAGCAUGUGGUUUAAUUCGAAGCAACGCGAAGAACCUUACCAGGUCUUGACAUCCUUUGACCACCUAAGAGAUUAGGCUUUCCCUUCGGGGACAAAGUGACAGGUGGUGCAUGGCUGUCGUCAGCUCGUGUCGUGAGAUGUUGGGUUAAGUCCCGCAACGAGCGCAACCCUUGUUGUCAGUUGCCAGCAUUAAGUUGGGCACUCUGGCGAGACUGCCGGUGACAAACCGGAGGAAGGUGGGGACGACGUCAAGUCAUCAUGCCCCUUAUGACCUGGGCUACACACGUGCUACAAUGGACGGUACAACGAGUCGCAAGACCGCGAGGUUUAGCUAAUCUCUUAAAGCCGUUCUCAGUUCGGAUUGUAGGCUGCAACUCGCCUACAUGAAGUCGGAAUCGCUAGUAAUCGCGAAUCAGCAUGUCGCGGUGAAUACGUUCCCGGGCCUUGUACACACCGCCCGUCACGGCCAUGAGAGUUUGUAACACCCAAAGCCGUAGAGUAUGAUCGAGGCUCAGGAC
rnacentral:rRNA from 1 species